rnacentral:rRNA from 1 species
CCUACGGGAGGCAGCAGUGAGGAAUAUUGGUCAAUGGGCGGAAGCCUGAACCAGCCAAGUAGCGUGCAGGAUGACGGCCCUACGGGUUGUAAACUGCUUUUAUACGGGAAUAACGCGCCUUACGUGUAGGGCUUUGCAUGUACCGUAUGAAUAAGGACCGGCUAAUUCCGUUCCAGCAGCCGCGGUAAGACGGAAGGUCCGGGCGUUAUCCGGAUUUAUUGGGUUUAAAGGGAGCGUAGGCCGCAUGUCAAGCGUGCUGUGAAAUGUCCGGGCUCAACCCGGGCCUUGCAGCGCGAACUGGCGUGCUUGAGUCCGCGGAAGGCAGGCGGAAUUCGUCGUGUAGCGGUGAAAUGCUUAGAUAUGACGAAGAACCCCGAUUGCGAAGGCAGUUUGCUGCAGCGGAACUGACGCUGAUGCUCGAAAGCGCGGGUAUUGAACAGGAUUAGAUACCCCUGUAGUC